GUGCUUGCUUCGGCUGCACAUAUACUAAAACUGGAAUGAUACAGAGAAGAUUAGCAUGGUCCCCCAUGCAAGGAUGACACGCAAAUUCGUGAAGUGUUCCAUUAAAAA